rnacentral:pre_miRNA from 1 species
CAAAAGAGGACCUGGAAGGGUACAUGGGCUCAUCCAGCUUCGACACCAGAGAGGUGUCGAAGCUGGAUGAGCUUCGACACCUCUCUGGUG